AUGUUUUGGAUUGCAAAAUGGGCAUCUGAGCUGAAUAACACUUCUAUCCGCCAAAGUUUCCCAUGCCUAUUUUCUUAUGUUGCUGAUGGACAAUUAUCGGUUUCUCAAGUCCUGUCCCAUGACCUUCUCUCUAGUCUACAAUUGCCUUUGUCACCUCUUGGUUUUGAGGAGCUUGCCAAUCUACAACAACUUCUCAGGGGAUAUGUCCUAACUGAGGCUAAUGAUCAAUGGAUUUGGCCUUUUAGCAAAGGAUGCUUUAGACCUAAAUUGAUCUAUACAGAUGUGCACCAUUUUGUGGUAGAUCCAAUAUUUCAGUGGAUUUUGAAGUGUUCCUGUACAAUAAAGAUAAAGACGUUUGGAUGGUUUUUGUUGAUGGAUCGGUUAAACACUAGGGAUAUGUUACAACAUAAACAUUGGCAUGUUGAUGAUCAUACAUGUGUUCUUUACUGA
rnacentral:rRNA from 1 species